UCAUAGCAUUCCAAAUCAUAGCUAACUUUCUGUUAUAUUCUGAUCUGCUCUGCACUAUUCGCCGUCAACUCUUCUCAUUUCUAAUCUCUCUCGCACUCGCCGGAGAUUUCUCUCGUCAUUUCCUGCCUCCACAAUGUCCGCCGCUAAUAACGCCACAGCCAAGGCUUCUCAUACUAAAGAUGAAGCUUAUCUCAACGCGGAUUAGCUUGUCGAAUGGGACCGUGAAGGAAGGAGGGAGACGGUUAUCAUCUUCGAUGGACAUAGCUAAAGGCAUUUCAAAGAGUUUGGCUACGAAUGCUUUGAUUGCUCAACUUAACGGUUGGCUUUGGGAUAUGAAUAGGCCAAAUGAAUCUUAAUGAUCUCGACAAGGUUUGGAAAUUACAACUUUAAAGGGUAAGAUUGGAGAAGAUGAUGCUAAGAUAUUCUUUGAAAAAAUUGCAAAACAAGUUCAGCAGAUUAUGUGCAAACAUCAGUGUCAAGUCGAAAUUCUCUCUGAUCUUGGCAAGGAUUAUCAAUGAUAUUUAGAAGGAGAGGCAGCGAUGAUCUUGAAUAAAGUCAUGCUAAGUGGGUAGAAACACUGCAGUUGGCACCAGAUGUGUUUAACAUGACAUUUACACCUAUUGUUUCUUUACUUGAAGGAGUAACCGGCUUAAAGAAUCUGUCCCGGGCAAUGGACUUGUACCUGGAGUACAAACCACCAAUUGAGGAUUUGAAGGUUGAAUAUUCAAAUUUCUUAAGCUUGGGCUCCUGGACAAAAUUAUCUCCAAAGAAAGGAGCCUGUUUGUCAAUCCUUUCAGCUCAGCUGGAUGAGUCCCAAGCUUUAUAUCAGCCCAGAUCAGAUAAGAUUAACCAUAUGCAAAAUAUUUUUUUAAUAUGCAAAAGGAUAACGAGAAGUUUGUCUCCACUUUGAUUUGUUUUCAUUAUCUCAUGAUAGAACUAAAACUGUGUAAAUCACAUUAGCUUAAGCACUUUGCAAACAAAUCAAAGUGGCAGACAAAAACUAUUAGAAAUAUUGGUAAAAAUUGUGUAAAUCACAUUAGAUUAAGCAUUUUGCUCAAGCAUCUCUCUAAAGUAUAAACUGAAUCGAACUGAAAAAAUCACUUUGCAAAUCUAAGGUGAGGAUUACUAUUUCAACUUCAGAUUAAAAGUUUGUCUGCUACUUUGACUAGCUUUCAGUUGUACUGAACUCAUUUUCAUUGGUUGAUGCAGGUUGAAAUUCCCUCUUAUUUUGUUGCCUUGAUCUUGGAGAACUGUGAUCUUCCGUAUGCAAAUCAUGGACAUGUUAUUCUAGCUGACCCUUCUCUGAUCUUGUUUUAUCGUAUUAGCAGUUCGGAAAUUCACUGUUUGGUUGACAUACCAGCUGGCUAUAAGCAGCCUUCUGUUUACAAUGGCCAAAUUGACAAGUAUGCGGAUAUAUACACCUCUAAGGUCUUGAAUUUCCUAAACUAUACACGAUUCAUGUACUUCAACUCGCAAGAAGAGACGUUGGCUCAAUCUUGAGUGACAGCUUCUCUAGUUAAGUACUCGUUCUUUGCACAUUUAUCUUAUUAUGUAUCAUGUUUGCAUAUUCUGAGUAUUAUUGUUUGUGGUUUUGCAGGAUUUCAUGAAGAUAUUUGUGGAAAAUGGUGACGUAGGAGAAAAGGCGCACAAUGUUUAGUAGUAUAAUCGUUAUUUUUGAUGAAUAUUUUGGCGAACAUUUUCUGUUUGUGAUGUAAUGGAUGGAUGAAAUAUUUUCCGACUUUGAAUUUUAUGAAUAUUUUCCGUUUUCUAA